UUGAAACACCGGUUCUCGUACGAUCACUAAAGUUAAGCAACAUCGAGCCUGUUUAGUACCCUAGUUUGGUGACUGCUUGGGAAUGCUAGGUUCGGCA